UCUUCCGAUCUGGUUUCCCAGUCACGAUAGGGGGGGUGGUUGGACGAUGACGUCGCUGUCUUUGUCGAAUAUCUUGAUUAUUUUUGUGUUUUUGAGUUGCCAUUUGUCAGCGUUGAGUUUGGGGUGUUGGGUGAUGUUAAGGUAGGUGAGUUUGUAGGGGGAGGUGUUGUUGGAGGAUUGGACACCGAGGUAGUAGUAUCCUUAUUGAACUUGUAGUGUGGCGUAGAUGGAGUUGGAGUCUUUGUAGUAGUUGGUGAGGUUGUUGUACCUGCCUAAUUCUGCGUCGGUGAAGGAGUUGGAGCCCAUGAUUGGCGAUAAGCAUAAUACCGAAGCUCUGGAUUCGUAGUAAUACGAGUGGUAGGGGAGCGUUCCUAUUGCAUUGAAGCCGUCGGGUAACCGCAUGGUGGAGUGAUGGGAAGUGAGGAUGCAGACAUGAGUAGCGAUAAGACAGGUGAAAUCCCUGUCCGCCGUAAACCCAAGGUUUCCUGGGGAAGGUUCGUCCUCCCAGGGUUAGUCGGGUCCUAAGUCGAGGCCGCACGGCGUAGACGAUGGGCAGCAGGUUCAAUAUUCCUGCACCACCGACAUUUAACCGAUGAAGACGCAGAGAUGGAGAGGGGCGAGGUGUUGAACGUCCUUGUCCCGCAAGGGGACGCGGAGGCCACGGCCGAAGCGGAUUCCUCAAAGUCCCUGCCGAGAAAACUCAUCGGGUAUACUAAGGUGCCCGCACCGUAAACCGACACAGGUGGGUGAGUAGAAUAUACUAAGGUGCGCGAGUGAACCCUCUUCAAGGAACUCGGCAAUCUAACCCCGUAACUUCGGAAGAAGGGGUGCCCGUCGCAAGACGGGUCGCAGAGAAAUGGGCCUACCGACUGUUUAGCAAAAACACAGCACUCUGCUAAGUCGUGAAGACGACGUAUAGGGUGUGACACGUGACCAAUGCCGAAAGAUUACGGUGAGAGGUCAGCCGCAAGGCGAAGCUUCGAACCCAAGUCCCGGUGAAUGUCGGCCGUAACUAUAACGGUCCUAAGGUAGCGAAAUUCCUUGUCGGGUAAGUUCCGACCUGCACGAAUCGUGUAACGAGUGGGCCGCUGUCUCGAAGAGGCGCUCGGCGAAGUUGUAGUGGCGGUGAAGAUGCCGCCUACCCGCAGUAGGACGGAAAGACCCCGUGCACCUUUACUGUAAGCUGUCGCUGGAUUUUCGUUCGGAAUACUUAGCGUAAGUGGGAGACGUUGAUCCUUGGGUUUCGGCCCAAGGGGAGUCGCCAAUGAAACACCACCUUUUCUUCAUGAAGAUUCUAACCCUUGCCCGUGAUCCGGGCGGGGGACCACGGCAGCGGGUCAGUUUGACUGGGGCGGUUUCCUCCUAAAGAGUAACGGAGGAGUGCUAUGGUUCCCUCAGCAUGGUUGGCAAUCAUGCGUCGAGCGUAUGGGUAGAUGGAGCCUGACUGCGAGACCUACAAGUCGAGCAGGGACGAAAGUCGGCCCAAGUGAUCCGGUGGUUGAAUGUGGAAUCGCCAUCGCUGCUAUCGUGACU
rnacentral:rRNA from 1 species